rnacentral:rRNA from 1 species
UACGAAGGGGGCUAGCGUUGUUCGGAAUUACUGGGCGUAAAGGGCGCGUAGGCGGUGUGUCAAGUCAGGCGUGAAAGCCCCGGGCUCAACCUGGGAACAGCGCUUGAGACUGGCACGCUCGAGUUCGGGAGAGGAUGGUGGAAUUCCCAGUGUAGAGGUGAAAUGCGUAGAUAUCUGGAGGAACACCGGUGGCGAAGGCGGCAUCCUGGACCAACACUGACACUGAGGAGCGAAAGCCAGGGGAGCAAACGGG